UAACUGCGAGUGAGCGGGAAAAGCUCAAAUUUGAAAUCUGGUAGUCUUUGGCUGCCCGAGUUGUAAUCUAGAGAAGUGUUAUCCGCACUGGACCGUGUACAAGUCUCCUGGAAUGGAGCGUCAUAGAGGGUGAGAAUCCCGUCUUUGACACGGACUACCAGNGCUUUGUGAUGUGCUCUCAAAGAGUCGAGUUGUUUGGGAAUGCAGCUCUAAAUGGGUGGUAAAUUCCAUCUAAAGCUAAAUAUUGGCGAGAGACCGAUAGUGAACAAGUACCGUGAGGGAAAGAUGAAAAGAACUUUGGAAAGAGAGUUAAACAGUACGUGAAAUUGUUGAAAGGGAAACGCUUGAAGUCAGUCGCGUUGGCCAGGGAUCAACCUUGCUUCUUGCUUGGUGUACUUUCUGGUUAAUGGGUCAGCAUCAAUUUUGACCAGUGGAAAAAGACUAGGGGAAUGUGGCAUCUUCGGAUGUGUUAUAGCCCUUGGUUGCAUACACUGGUUGGGAUUGAGGAACUCAGCACGCCGCAAGGCCGGGUUUUUACCACGUUCGUGCUUAGGAUGCUGGCAUAAUGGCUUUAAUCGACCCGUCUUGA
rnacentral:rRNA from 1 species